UUGGGGAUUACUGGCUCAGAAGCAGGUAUCAUAGCAGAAGCCCAAGUCUCUUCCAAGUCACAGGGCUAGGAACCAAGAUAUCAGCAGGGGAAGCAGGGGGUGGAGGGGGUAUAAAAAUGACCCAACUACAACCACCAAUACUACCAUUUACUGAGGCUUCGCCAUGCAGCAGGCACCCUGAAAAGUGUUUUGUUUGCAUUAUCUUAGUCAGUCCUCCUAGCAGCCUGAUUAGUAGAAGUUGUUACAGAAACACAGAUGAAACCAUGGGUUAGAAAGAGGUUGAGUGCUAGAGAAUCUUAUGGCUGCAAAAUGAGUAAGCAGAGACUUCAACCACUGUCUUCUGACUCACAGCCCAAGGGAAAGACCAGGCAAGAGUAGGGGUGAAGGUCAUGGGAUACAUGAACUUCAGGCUUAAUCUCUGUGUGAGAAAAACAGCAUGAAGAUAAUCAACUCUAUGUCAGAAGAAAUUGGCAACACUACUAACCACGAGUAAUGCACACCGAAGAACUCACCUUCUUAUGGAGUCACCUUCAUCCCUCUGCUCAGC
rnacentral:lncRNA from 10 species